AUGACUAUGCAGGACUGCAGAUUUAAGAUCAUGUGAUAUCCUUGAAAGAUCCGCAAUCUGACGUCACCAUAACCUUCUGAUCCAUUCUGAUUGAAUUACUUGAGUCUUGCAUCGUUCUUUAUAAACGGUCAAUGCACUGACAAAAGAAUACAGCAAAGAUAUUCAAGGAAAUAAGACAUAACUGCGAUACAGAAAACUUCUGCUUGCUGUUUGGAAGUCAGCUCCCUAAGGUUCAGUCAUGAUGAGAAGCAUUAUUCCCAAGAGCAAAGCAAAAGGCACUGAUAUCUGUGCAUUUAACAACUACUAUUACAUAAUCCGCUCUGACCUCGGCCGCUAUAUGCAGACAAGUGAUUUACAUAAAGGUGCAGAUAUCUCUAUUUUCAGUCUGCACCCUGCCUGCCAAAAUGGAGACCAUUACAUUGGAGGAGGUGGAGAAAGCUACUUUCACAUCAUCAAGGGCACUUCCUUCCGCAGAGUCACCGAUCUGUCUACAGACAGCAAUGCUGUAGUUUACAACCUUCAUCCCAGCUGUCAGGGUGGAGACCACUACCUCAGAUCCUUUAAAUAUUUUUACAUCAUCUUCCAAGAAAAGGGUACUUUACGAGUAACAACUGACAUGGAACUCGACUCAGAUGCUAAAGUACACACCCUGCAUCCCAACUUCAGAGAUGCCUGCCUCAGAGUGGAGUGUUGAGUUCUGCCACGCUCUUGAUCUCAGCAUAAAAAAGCAAACUGCUGUCUGUUCUGUUCAUCCUGAUGUUCUUAAC